rnacentral:miRNA from 1 species
CAUUAGCUGGUCUAUUGCCAGC